rnacentral:rRNA from 1 species
UACGUAGGGGGCUAGCGUUGUCCGGAAUCAUUGGGCGUAAAGCGCGUGUAGGCGGUCCGGUAAGUCCGCUGUGAAAGUCGGGGGCUCAACCCUCGAAUGCCGGUGGAUACUGUCGGGCUAGAGUGCGGAAGAGGCGAGUGGAAUUCCUGGUGUAGCGGUGAAAUGCGUAGAUAUUGGGAGGAACACCGGUGGCGAAGGCGGCUACCUGGACCGGUUCUGACGCUGAUGCGCGAAAGCGUGGGUAGCAAACAGG